GCUCAAUUGGAUCCGCGCUUUAGGCUAGCUUGAGGUGCUAGUUGGGCAACCAGUGGAGGUUCGAGUCCUCUCGGCCGCACCA
rnacentral:tRNA from 1 species